rnacentral:rRNA from 1 species
CCUAACACAUGCAAGUCGAACGGUAACAGGAAGAAGCUUGCUUCUUUGCUGACGAGUGGCGGACGGGUGAGUAAUGUCUGGGAAACUGCCUGAUGGAGGGGGAUAACUACUGGAAACGGUAGCUAAUACCGCAUAACGUCGCAAAACCAAAGAGGGGGACCUUCGGGCCUCUUGCCAUCGGAUGUGCCCAGAUGGGAUUAGCUAGUAGGUGGGGUAACGGCUCACCUAGGCGACGAUCCCUAGCUGGUCUGAGAGGAUGACCAGCCACACUGGAACUGAGACACGGUCCAGACUCCUACGGGAGGCAGCAGUGGGGAAUAUUGCACAAUGGGCGCAAGCCUGAUGCAGCCAUGCCGCGUGUAUGAAGAAGGCCUUCGGGUUGUAAAGUACUUUCAGCGGGGAGGAAGGGAGUAAAGUUAAUACCUUUGCUCAUUGACGUUACCCGCAGAAGAAGCACCGGCUAACUCCGUGCCAGCAGCC